rnacentral:tRNA from 1 species
GAGGGUGUAGCUCAGUGGUAGAGCACGUGCUUAGCAUGCACAAGGUCCUGGGUUCCAUCCCCAGCACCUCCA